rnacentral:rRNA from 1 species
AUUGAACGCUGGCGGCAGGCUUAACACAUGCAAGUCGAGCGGAGCGAGGGUGCUUGCACCUUAGCUUAGCGGCGGACGGGUGAGUAAUGCUUAGGAAUCUGCCUAUUAGUGGGGGACAACAUUCCGAAAGGAAUGCUAAUACCGCAUACGCUCUACGGGGGAAAGCAGGGGAUCUUCGGACCUUGCGCUAAUAGAUGAGCCUAAGGCGGAUUAGCUAGUUGGUGGGGUAAAGGCCUACCAAGGCGACGAUCUGUAGCGGGUCUGAGGGGAUGGUCCGCCACGCUGGGACUGAGACACGGCCCAGACUCCUACGGGAGGCAGCAGUGGGGAAUAUUGGACAAUGGGCGGAAGCCUGAUCCAGCCAUGCCGCGUGUGUGAAGAAGGCCUUUUGGUUGUAAAGCACUUUAAGCGAGGAGGAGGCUACUUAGAUUAAUACUCUGGGAUAGUGGACGUUACUCGCAGAAUAAGCACCGGCUAACUCUGUGCCAGCAGCCGCCGUAA